CACAGGUGUGUGACAGGUGUGUGACAGGUGUGUGACAGGUGUGUGACACUGACAGGUGUGUGACAGGUGUGUGACAGGUGUGUGACACUGACAGGUGUGUGACAGGUGUGUGACAGGUGUGUGACAGGUGUGUGACAGGUGUGUGACAGGUGUGUGACAGGUGUGUGACAGGUGUGUGACAGGUGUGAGGGUCACAAACUGAAAGAGUACUCCAAAUCCAUGGACGAGAGCCGGCUGGACCGGGUAAGGUGUGACACCGACAGGUGUGACACUGACAGGUGUGUGACAGGUGUGUGACAGGUGUGUGACAGGUGUGACACUGACAGGUGUGACAGGUGUGACACAGGUGUGUGACAGGUGUGUGACAGGUGUGUGACACUGACAGGUGUGUGACAGGUGUGUGACAGGUGUGUGACAGGUGUGUGACACUGACAGGUGUG